UUGACAUUGAUGAAGAGCUAACAUGUAAGAAGGGAUCAAGAACACAAUGCAAUGAUAGCUUGUGUUUGGUUCUUGAUUCUUCAAUGAAAUUUCUUUGUUACGCUUGGCUUCUGAGUCUG